rnacentral:rRNA from 1 species
GACGAACGCUGGCGGCGUGCUUAACACAUGCAAGUCGAACGAAAAGACGGAAAGAGCUUGCUCUUUUCAGAAUUGAGUGGCAAACGGGUGAGUAACACGUAAACAACCUGCCUUCAGGAUGGGGACAACAGACGGAAACGACUGCUAAUACCGAAUAAGUUCCAAGAGCCGCAUGGCCCAUGGAAGAAAAGGUGGCCUCUACCUGUAAGCUAUCGCCUGAAGAGGGGUUUGCGUCUGAUUAGCUGGUUGGAGGGGUAACGGCCCACCAAGGCGACGAUCAGUAGCCGGUCUGAGAGGAUGAACGGCCACACUGGAACUGAGACACGGUCCAGACUCCUACGGGAGGCAGCAGUGGGGAAUCUUCCGCAAUGGGCGAAAGCCUGACGGAGCAACGCCGCGUGAGUGAUGACGGCCUUCGGGUUGUAAAACUCUGUGAUCCGGGACGAAAAGGCAGAGUGCGAAGAACAAACUGCAUUGACGGUACCGGAAAAGCAAGCCACGGCUA